rnacentral:rRNA from 1 species
CCUACGGGGGGCUGCAGUGGGGAAUAUUGCACAAUGGGGGAAACCCUGAUGCAGCAACGCCGCGUGAGCGAUGAAGGCCUUCGGGUCGUAAAGCUCUGUCCUAAGGGAAGAAUACUGAAGGUACCUUAGGAGGAAGCCCCGGCUAACUACGUGCCAGCAGGCGCGGUAAUACGUAGGGGGCUAGCGUUACCCGGAAUUACUGGGCGUAAAGGGUGCGGAGGCGGGCCUUCAAGUCCGGGGUGAAAGGCUACGGCACAACCGUAGUAAGCCGUGGAAACUGUAGGGCUUGAGUGCAGGGGAGGAGAGUGGAAUGCUCAGUGUAGCGGUGAAAUGUGUAGAUAUUGGGAGGAACACCAGUGGCGAAGGCGGCUCUCUGGACUGUAACUGACGCUGAGGCACGAAAGCGUGGGGAGCGAACAGGAUUAGAUACCCUAGUAGUC